GUAAAUUUGAGGAAUGCCAGUUGUAUAGAAUAGACUUUUAUUGUAUCGAAACGUCCUUUGAGGACAUACAAAGUAUCAAAUACAAGUACAAAAAAAUUGGACGGGUACAAAAAUAUGGACGGGCAUUAAGAACAUAUAGACUGGACAACCUGCUCUAAAUGACGUCAGGCUGGUUCCUACGUCACUGCGCUAUUCUGACUUCAAUAUAGAGACGGGUAGCGGGCAGCCAUCUUGCCAGGAGGAAUUCCUCCCGGCAGUGCGCAUCUCUUUCUGCGCACAUUACCAAUGUAAACAAAAACAUGAUCGGACGCUGAAGUAUGCAAUAAAGAUGGCGAUUUGCAGUAGCCGGUUGAUAACAGUGGUAAAUAUUUUACAUUAACAACAAGUGAUGGACAAGAUAUAAGAAUAGAUAUGCCUGAACCACUCAGUGAAUAUGUAGCAGGACUUACCGAAAUCCAGGGUAAAGUUAACAGAAAUACCAUACAAU